UCGGAUAUGGUGUAAUGGUCAACAUCGUUGACUCUCAUUGCUCAGCAGUGAAGCCCUCAACAGCUCCGGGUUCGAUUCCCGGUAUCCGAG
rnacentral:tRNA from 2 species